GUCUGAUCAAUUUUUUAUAAAUCUACCCGUGUAAAAAUCAUCUGAUAUCAUGAUGAGGUUCAUUAUGAAUAUCAUAAUGAAUCUCAUAUUUUGACACAAAUAUGAGAUUCAUAUAAAAGCCAUAUUAAUAUACAUUUGAUACUCGUAAUAAGUAAAAUAUUUGU